rnacentral:tRNA from 1 species
GGGCGCAUAGCUCAGCCGGUUAGAGCACGGUUCUUAUAAAGCCGGGGUCGGUGGUUCGAGUCCACCUGCGCCCACCA